CAGGCCUAACACAUGCAAGUCGAACGGGUACCUUCGGGUACUAGUGGCGCACGGGUGCGUAACGCGUGGGAAUCUGCCUUGGGGUUCGGAAUAACAGCGGGAAACUGCUGCUAAUACCGGAUGAUGUUUAGCGACCAAAGAUUUAUCGCCCCAAGAUGAGCCCGCGUCGGAUUAGCUAGUUGGUGGGGUAAAGGCCUACCAAGGCGACGAUCCGUAGCUGGUCUGAGAGGAUGAUCAGCCACACUGGGACUGAGACACGGCCCAGACUCCUACGGGAGGCAGCAGUGGGGAAUAUUGGACAAUGGGCGAAAGCCUGAUCCAGCAAUGCCGCGUGAGUGAUGAAGGCCUUAGGGUUGUAAAGCUCUUUUACCUGGGAAGAUAAUGACUGUACCGGGAGAAUAAGCCCCGGCUAACUCCGUGCCAGCAGCCGCGGUAAU
rnacentral:rRNA from 1 species